rfam:Triticum aestivum genome assembly, contig: Triticum_aestivum_CS42_TGACv1_scaffold_556380_7AL
CAAAUAUUACCCUGUCCUAAGAUUCUUGUCUUAGAUUUGUUUUAAAUGUGGAUGUAUCUAACACUAAAACGUGACUAGAUACAUUCGUAUUUAGAUAAAUCUAAGACAAGAAUUUUGGGACUGAGGGAGUAUACA